CAGCAAGUUACUGUACACAAGCAUGUCAGACUUGUGGCCAGCAGGCUGUAUGCCGUAAAUUUGACAUGCUUGCUGUACCACAUGAGAUUAAGCAAGCGCAAGAGAAAUCGAUGCAAUGCAGAGAUACUGGAUGGAUGAGGCUGCUGCCGGGAGAACAUGGAAGAGUGCAGUCUAACGUAGUGAUAAAUAGUAUAGAAAUCCAUAGACCAGUAAUAGAUAGUAUGACCACCAGGUUUGUGGACUGUACAUACUGUAUGUGUUAGGCUUCCACAUGGUCGGCAGUGCGCUCGGUUGGUUUUUACCAGCAAGCAUGCAGCCACCUUAGGAUAGCUGCCACGUCACCAGGUGGUAGGGACUUUUCAGCUCCAUUAUAGUCUUAUGGGACCACCGUAGGUCCAUCACUGACCAAAACAUCUUUAUGCAGCACAUGACUGAUUUUUGCAUCUAUGCAAUGAGAACUACUGGUCUGUAGUUUUCUUGCAAUGUCUCUGUCUGGUUUGGUAUCAAGAUAAUAUUGGCUUCAUAUAAUGAGUUGGAAAUUGUUCCCUACUUCUCUAUUUCCUAGAAGAGUUUGUGUAAAUUUGGCUUUAUUUCUUCCUUACAUGUUUGCUAGUAUUCACCAGUGAAUCCCUCUAGGCCUGGACUUUCAUUGACUGGAAGGUUUUUAAUUACAAAUAUAACUGUCUUAAUAGGUUAUGCUA